rnacentral:rRNA from 1 species
CAUUUUCGCAUGAUUAAAGGUUUACCGGUGUAAGAAUGGGGAUGCGUUCCAUUAGAUAGUAAGCGGGGUAACGGGCCACCUAGUCUUCGAUGGAUAGGGGUUCUGAGAGGAAGGUCCCCCACAUUGGAACUGAGACACGGUCCAAACUCCUACGGGAGGCAGCAGUGAGGAAUAUUGGUCAAUGGACGAGAGUCUGAACCAGCCAAGUAGCGUGAAGGAUGAAGGUUCUAUGGAUUGUAAACUUCUUUUAUACGGGAAUAAACGGAUCCACGUGUGGAUUUUUGCAUGUACCGUAUGAAUAAGGAUCGGCUAACUCCGUGCCAGCAGCCGCGGUAAUACGGAGGAUCCGAGCGUUAUCCGGAUUUAUUGGGUUUAAAGGGAGCGUAGAUGGGUUGUUAAGUCAGUUGUGAAAGUUUGCGGCUCAACCGUAAAAUUGCAAUUGAUACUGGCAGUCUUGAGUACAGUUGAGGUAGGCGGAAUUCGUGGUGUAGCGGUGAAAUGCUUAGAUAUCACGAAGAACUCCGAUUGCGAAGGCAGCUUACUAACCUGUAACUGACAUUGAUGCUCGAAA